GCACAGGUGGUUCCGGAACAUGAAGUGCCGCUUCAGGUGCACUGCCGGGAAGGGGACCAAAUAGAAAAUGAAACAGGCACAGGGAAAACCAAGUGACUGGGCUGAGUUGAAUGGCCCAGCACAGAACGUGAAACCACUGAACCACUGACUGGGACCUUCUUCUCCUUCUUGGUGCUGGAGUCCUGAGGAGGAGCCUGCUGGGCCCGCCGCUUCUUCUUUGCAUAGUAGACCUGCCCAGCCGGCCAGCCAGGAGAUGAGGACUGGUCUUGAUGAGGUCCACGGAGAGCUUGCGCAAUGGGGCCGUGGUCGCAUCCCGGAAGGCCAGAGGAAGCCUCCUCGGCAAGAGCCGCACAUUAGGCAAUACCUGCUGGGCGGGGUGAGAGGUGGGCUCUGAGGACAGACCUUUACCUCCAACCUCAAGGGGGAGAACUAACGGGUGGCUGGCUCAUCGCUGCUGCGCGCCUGCUCAUUUGGUCACUGCCUGACAACCCCACUAACAGAGAAAGUCCCCAAGGGCAGAGGCUAUGUCUUCUUCUUGCUGUAUAUAUCUUCUGUGCCGGGAGCAAGGCCUGGCAUGCAGUGGAUAAUAAUAAUAAUAAUUUUUAAAAUAUA